rnacentral:rRNA from 1 species
CCUACGGGUGGCAGCAGUGAGGAAUAUUGGUCAAUGGACGCGAGCCUGAACCAGCCAAGCCGCGUGAAGGAUGACGGCUCUAUGGGUUGUAAACUUCUUUUAUAAGAGGAUAAAGUGAGGUACGUGUGCCUUGUUGAAAGUAUCGUACGAAUAAGGAUCGGCUAACUCCGUGCCAGCAGCCGCGGUAAUACGGAGGAUACGAGCGUUAUCCGGAUUUAUUGGGUUUAAAGGGAGCGUAGGUGGUUUGAUAAGUUAGUGGUGAAAGUUUGCGGCUCAACCGUAAAAUUGCAUUUGAUACUGGCAGUCUAGAGUAGAGUUGAGGUAGGCGGAAUUCGUGGUGUAGCGGUGAAAUGCUUAGAGAUCACGAAGAACUCCGAUUGCGAAGGCAGCUUACUAAACUACCACUGACAUUGAUGCUCGAAAGUGUGGGGAUCAAACAGGAUUAGAUACCCUUGUAGUC